rnacentral:lncRNA from 13 species
CCUUAAGUGAUUCCAGAAGCUCUGAUUGAUUUAAGAUGUUUCUCUCUUCCUUCAUUUCCUAGAUUUCUUUAGGAGUUUCUUUGUGUUGAUUUUCAACUUUGUCUUGGCUCUUGUUGAUUGCUCCAUGGUUUGAAUUCUUUGUUAUUUCUGAAUUUCCAUUUUGGUCAGGGAUUACUGCUGAAGAGCUAGUAUGAUCCUAUGGUGGUGUCACGAUGUGCAGAUUUUUCAUGGUGCCAGAAUUCUUAUGCUGGUUCCUUCUCAUCUGGAGAGGCUGGUGCUACUAAUUUUUGUAUUUAUUUUUAUGCUGAUAGAAUUUUUUUUCUUUCCCUGUAUAUAUACUUAUUUCCCUUUCUCCCCCUCCCUAGAGGAUGAUGUGAAUGUAGAGUAUGUUGGGUAUUGCCUUUUGGCUUUGCUUCUAUAACCCUAUGCACUUUUGUGGGCAGGUUUUAUAUUGGGUGUGAUUCAACUUACAGGCCAACAGAUGGUGCUUACAGGUACGAGCCAUUGGCACAAACAGACGGGUCUGUACCUGGUCAUUGUUUACUGUGAGGUGCUCUCCGUUGUUUUAGGUGAUAGGCUGGACAGUGGAAUGCCUGGUGCCCUGUGCUUCCUGUUCUGUGGGGAUGGAGAGACACAGGUAGGCAGAGCUGGAACCCUUGGCUUGCCCAUGAAUACCCCUAUGAUACCAGUAAAGAUGUCAUCUGGACAAUUUGUGUGAAAAUAGAGAAUAAUUCUCAUCCAAACCGCCUGUCUCUGGAAAUAAGAAAAACUCUGAGGGUCUCCAGAGUUACCAGAGGAAGGCUGAAUUUUAUGGUGAUUGAGAAUAUUUCCAAGCCUAUGAAGUAGAAAAUAUCAUGAGUCUUUUCCAUGAUAGGAAAGAGUAAAACCUGUAACAACAACAAAAAGAAGUGAUACAGUGGAUGGGAUGAUGAGACCCUUGAAAAAAGCAAGGAUGGACCAGAAACUGGUAACCCUCACCCAUGGAAUUUCAUUAUGAAGUCGUGGCAAGGGCCAAGCAGACCUGGAUUUAAAACCCAUCUCUUCAAUGAUGUAGAUUUUGACAAGAUAUUUGAUUUCUCUGAGCCUCAGUUUCUUAUCUGCAAAAAAGGGAGAUAUGAAUGGUUACAUUAUUGGAUUUUCAUGAACAUUAAAUAUGAAAAUGUCAGAUUGUUCAGCCAAGUUUCUAGCUUAUAGUACAGAUUCAAAUAUUAUCUUUUUUUUCCCACCAACUUCUUUUCUGGGAAAAUACAAAGCUACUCUUUAGCCAAAUUAUAAAAUAAGGGUUAUUUAUUUUGGGAAUCAUUCAUACCCAUCUGCCCCUUUUUUGGUCCAUUGGGCAUAUUGAAAUGAAUGAUUAAUACUCAGCACUUUGAGGUGUAUACAUUGUUUUGUUUCUUUAUAGCCGGAGUCGGGUCUUCAACUCUAACCAAAGUAAAGGAAACUGGAAAGACACAUGCUUUUUCAGUCAUUAAUAGAAAGUUGUCCAGGUAAGUUUCUGAUGGUACCUCAGUUGGAAAUAUAUUUAGCUAUUCGUAAUAAAAAGCUGAAAACAGUGGCUUGAAUCA